rnacentral:misc_RNA from 1 species
UACGAACUGUGCAAACGUUAUUCGGAAUCACUGGGCUUACAGGGUGCGUAGGCGGCUUGUUAAGCAGGGUGUGAAAUCCCUCGGCUCAACCGAGGAAUUGCGCCCUGAACUGGCGAGCUUGAGUGGGAUAGAGGUGCGUGGAACAUCCAGUGGAGCGGUGAAAUGUGUUGAUAUUGGAAGGAACACCAGAGGCGAAAGCGGCGCACUGGAUCUCAACUGACGCUGAGGCACGAAAGCCAGGGGAGCAAACGGG